UUAUGUACCUGAAAACAACUAAACCAAUCAGUUCAACUGUACAGACAAACAGACAACAAUUAAUAUCAAACAGUCAAUCCCAAUGUGCAAGGCAUAAACCAUAAGGCAAACUCAAGUGAGUUGUCCUCAACCUACAAAACAUCAAGUGUUAACAAUCAAAAGCAAAUUUCAAUGUUCAAGUAGUGAAGCAUCAUUAACCAUGGCAUUUGGAUGCUCAAACCUGAAAUCAAAGCUCACAUGUAAGCAACAAACCACUAGGUCAAAGCCUAGGGUCAAAGGUGAAGAAAAAAUUUAAAACAGGAGCUGAAAUUUAACACAAAGCAACUUCAAUCUCAUAUUAACAAGUCCUAAAAAGGCACACAUCAAAAUCAAUCAUCAAAUUCAUUUCAUGAUCAAGUGAAGUUCAAGACUAUUUCAAAGUUCAUAUGUGAUCAUCAUGAAUAAAAAAUUCAAAUCAAAACAGAAAUGAUCCAAAUAAAUCUGGAAAAAAUCAUGCAUAUUCAAGACAUCUAACAUGAUCAACAUACAAAAAAUCAGAAGAAUUGGAUAUCAUUUGGCAUAGAAAUCACAUGGCACAAGUUGGACAUCAAAAGGUGUGACACAAAUUGUCACACCAUAUUAGCACAAGCAUAAAACAACAAUGGAUGAUGAGAAAAAUAUCAAAUCAAAGCCAAAAUGUCAAUCAACAUGUUAAGAAACUACACACAAAAUUUCAAAGCCAUUGGAUUAUUUUUGAGCAUUUUAUGAUGGAAAGAUCAAAGCAAUAUCACACAUGCAUAUGUAUUCAAACAUCCUAGAACAAAUAUUUUUUCAGCCAAGCAUAACUUUCCAAUUUACACUCAUAAAAAACUAGACAAAAUGAGGAGCAAUAUGCAAAAAAUUGGAGAUCAAAUGAUGCAUUUUUCAAUUUAUAAUGAUUUUUUGAAGUUGAGAAAAUAUUUGAAAAUCAAAAUGGACAUGUCAUGGCAAAUAAGGAAGGUAUGAGAAAAUAUUUGAAAAGAAAUGCUGUGCGCCAGAAUCGAACACGGUCCAGAUUCAAAUGGAGCGCGCCAAGCCGAAACGGCACCGUUUUGCAAAAACCCUAGCCAGCACCUAUGCGUCGACGCAAGACCAACGAGAGGUCGACGCAAGACCACAGUCAGAACCUCGGGUCGGCGCAGAACCAACAAUAGGUCGACGCAAGACCACAGACUGAACCAAGAGUCGACGCUAGCCACUGCUACGGUCGACACACACAUGAGGAUCUUCAUCUUCUUCCUCUUGAAGAAGAUGAACAGUAGCACGAGCUUCAAUACGUUUCCAGAAAAUAAUUCCAGAAAUCAAAACUAAAUACAUCAACAUGUAGGACCUUCAAUGGAGAUCAUGAAUCAAUGCAUAGCUAAGCCUAAUUUCACUUAUCAAGAUCAAAUCAAACGAAGUAAGAUUCAUGCAUGAAACUUUAAUCUAUUAUAACUCAGUCAAUAGGUCACCAAAUCGCACGAUUCAAAGCUCAGAUUCAUCAGGACACAAAGAUCUACAACAACAUAGCAAUGGAUUUUAAAAUUAAGAGAUUCGAAUUGUGACCUCUUGAAGUGUACUCAGUCAAUAGGUCACCAAAUCGCACGAUUCAAAGCUCAGAUUCAUCAGGACACAAAGAUCUACAACAACAUAGCAAUGGAUUUUAAAAUUAAGAGAUUCGAAUUGUGACCUCUUGAAGUGCAGAAGCUGGAAUCGUGCUCCAUAAAGCUCAGCAAUGCCUCAAAGUUCCUCCAUAAUGCUUAUUGAAGUGAUUGAUGAUGAAUUUGAAGCUCAACUGCACAUGAAUCCAGCAGAUUUUGAAAUCACCAUGGAUGCUUCAAGCUUCGAGUAUGUUCAAAUAUGGCGCGAUUCCUUCCAAUUCCACGUUCAAAUCUUCUCAAAAAUGCUUCAGGAUCAUGAAUCAAUCAAUAGAAAUACCUCUUGUGUGAAGAAUUGCAAGAAAAAUUUGAGAGAAAAAUUUGGAGAAUUUUGAGAUUCAGAUCUGAAAAAUAGUUGUUAAUGGCAAAUGCAGUUAUGCUUAACCUUAUAUAUGCUAUGCUAAUCAUGUUUAGAACCUGUUUAAGCCAAAGCCAAUUGAAAUUAAUCAAGUUUUAAGGUGUAUGCACAAAUUGGAUUUUCACCCUCAUGCAUGAGGUAGCCACGUGAACAGUACACGAAUCUGGCCCAAAAUCACUUAAUUAAUGCCCAUGCAAGCUUUUGAAUUGGUUUUGUAUGCUCAUGAUCAACCAAAAUGAUUUUAUGGAAUUUUCUUCAAAAAUCUUCAUGAAUAAGCCAAAGACCAUGCAAAUGGAAUUCAUGUCAUGUAAUGGUACAUUUGGAAAGUGCAUGUUAUGAUGAACAAAAUGCAAAAAGAACCACUCAUUUUGGAGCUUUGGUUGAAAAGUUAUGCUCAUUUGAAGUCCCAUGCACACUUUGCAAUGGUUGGAUCAUAUCUCCUUAACCACACAUGAGAAAUUCAUGAUCUUGGACAUUUUGGAAAUGGGAGAGAAAGAUCUACAACUUUCAUGUUCAACAAAAUUUUAUUUGAAGCUUUUUUGAUGAUGUAAUCUUGAGUUGAAGUUGGUCCAAAACCCUUCCAUUUUUGGAAAGUUCCAAUUAUGGGUCACUUUCUAUUUUGGGAAAUUUUUGACUGGACCUCAAAUUCUUUAAGAUGAGUAUUUGAAAUGUCAAAUGAGGCUUGUUUGAACAUGAAUGAAGUAUUUCUAAUCACUUCCCACCUCCAAAUCUAUAGUUGACUUUGUAGUUGACUUUCUAGGUCUUCAGAUGAUCUGGAAAUGUUCUGAUGAAAUUCAAGCCUCUACCACUUGGGAUUUUGCUUCAAAAUGACCUCAUAGCUCAUAUGAACUCUUGAUAAUGAUUGUGGGGUCCAAAUCUCAAGAAUGACCACCAUCUAUUGCUCAGUGAAUGUCUUUCAUGGCUUUGACCUGUUAUUGCUUCAUCUGCAAGACAAAGGUUAUAUGCCAUAUUUUUGUACAUUUUGGUUAGUGAUUAAAGAAAAGCAAUGAUAUACAAAUGCAAACAUGCUUGGUGAUCAAGAAUCACUCUCAAAAAGAUAACCCACCCACAGGGGAGGAAGCAAGGUGUCCAAUGAUCCUUGAGGCAAUGCAAUGAUAUGAUAUGAUGCCAUGAGGGAUCUUAGGGACAAAAUUGGGGUCUUACAGUGACCUAUAAAGAUUGGCACGAGAUGUUGCCGUUUGCAUUGCAUGGGUAUCGAACCUCGGUGCGUACUUCUACUAGGGCAACGCCAUUCUCGCUUGUGUAUGGAAUGGAAGCCGUGCUACUGGUUGAGGUUCAGAUUCCUUCGUUGAGAGUCCUGAUGGACGUGAACUUGCAAGAGGCUGAAUGGGUAAGGACUCGGUAUGAAGAAUUGAGCCUGAUUAAGGAAAAGAGGCUGGCAGCCAUCUGUCAUGGGCAGUUAUACCAGCAGCGAAUGAAGCGUGCUUUUGACCGAAAGGUGCGACCUCGUGUAUAUCACGUAGGAGAUAUGGUGCUAAAAAGGAUCCUUCCUCCUCAGAACGAUCGUAGGGGCAAGUGGACACCCAAUUAUGAAGGUCCAUUCGUGGUCAAGAAGGUUUUCUCUGGCGGAGCCUUGUUGUUAACGACCAAGGAUGGCGAGGAUUUACCAUCCCCUGUGAAUGCGGACGCAGUUAAAAAAUACUUCGUAUAAGAGACCCGUUGGACGAAAAGAAUAAAAUAGUCCAGGCAAAAAUGGGCAUCCCGGCGAACCAAAAAAAAGGGAAUAAAAAGGUUCGGGUAAAAAUUAGGGAUAAAAGGAAAAAACUGUACACCCGGCAAGUUGAAAACCCCACAAGGGAGGCUUGGGCAAAAAAAGGGUAUCACGGUGGACUGAAAACCCGAAAGGGCGGUCCAGGCAAAAGAGGGAUUGAAACGAACAACUGCGUCUAGCAUGAUCGUUUGUACUUUGGUUAUGACACCAGGAUAAUCCCCGGCAGGGAUCAGUCGGAAUCGUCUUGUUCAGAAGGCAGGAAGCACGGAGAGUCUUGAGGACAUAUAGGGUGUAACCGAGUUGGAACUCGAUGAGAUCACGGUUUCACAUUGCCAUUAGGAUAGAUUUUUCCUUUUGUGCGCAAUUACCUCUUUUUAGGAAUUGCUUCCUUUGUAUCGCUCAUUUUCGAGCCACCUCUUUUCAAUCAAUAAAAAGCAUAUUCAGUCAGACAAUUUUGUUUUUUAUUUUCAUUAUCGCUUGAUUGCAAAAACAUCCGUUUAUUUUGAUAGGAAUCUUUGCAUUUUGAGACGUAGGGGUCCCUUCCAAUGCAUGUUCAUAAGAUUGAAAAUUUGAAAUCUUAUUCGGAAGGUGGAGUGACCCAGGUGUUGGAAUCUUGGCACGCCUGGGGCACGUUUUAUCUAACGAUUUCUUUUGCAGGUGCUGUUAGAUAUUUUCACUCACUUGCAGGUUGUGAUGUGAAGCCUGUUGACAAAAGAUCCCCGUGGAGUCCAAUCAGGGACAAGAGAUAGAAGAAUGGUGAAAAGACAGCGAGAGACGUGCGAUGAUCCUGGAUAUUAAUCAAGAAGACUCUUCAAAGUCUGAGGACUGGAAAGUUUGUAUGAAUCCAGGGAGUUCGAUCUCCGUGGAGUACGGAGAAGUCGAGAAUACAAGGUGAUGAAUCAGAAAGUCCAGACGAGUCUGGGAACUCUCAAAAGUGGAAAGCUGACAUUGGAUUUAGAUGUUGAAUACCGGGGUUCGACGAGUCGAUGGGCGUUCUGUGCCAUAUUGUCCUUAUUUCCCCAAGCAGGGUCGGGGUUGUUACCCCCCCAGCAGAUUCAAGGUAUGUGUCUUCCCUAGCAGAGUCGGGAUUAUAAUCCCCAGCAGUUUCGAGAUUGAUUUCCUCAGCAGCCAGGCCGGAAGGUUGGUAUUUCCCCUAGCAGGGUUGGAGAUGACUAUUUUCCCAGCGGAGAUGCCCGUUGCUAGCUUUUCCCCCCAGCAAGUGGAAGAUUGUUGUUUUCCCCGUAGAGUGUGUUGGUGGUUUCUUCCCCAGCGAAGUCCCCAGGCGGAUCAGGUGGUCUUUUUCCCAGCAGCAGUGCUAUUCCCCAGUGGGGUGGGGAUUGGAGUGUUGUCGGGUUCCUCAGCAGAGUGCCUCGAGCUCCCCAGAAGAGUCCCUUGAGGGGGAUACUUUUUAUGCAUUCAUCAUAUAGAUAAGCAUAUCAUAUUGCGUAUCUCAUUGCGUAGCAUUUCCAUGAUUAUGGAGCAUUACGCUUAAAAAUCAUCAUGCAUCAGCAUUGUAAGCAUAAGCUAGUCUCAAGUCGUGGUUACUGUUUGAGGAUUGGUUUCGCCAGAGGGUGAAGAUGUUACUCUGAGGAGUUUGGCAUCGUGAUUUUGAAUCAACAGUAUUCCCCAGUAGUGCGAUAUUGGAGGAAGGAUUUCUGUCGGGCGGAGAUGGAAAUGAUAAUCAAGAAGUUUCGGGGUCCAAAAAGAAAAGCAAAAAAGAGAAAGAAAUAAUCCCCAGUUGAGCGCAAAUGGUUCGUUUGCUAGGGUUGAAUAGAGGAUAACAUGCUCAUGGCUUGUUAUCCCCAGCAUGGGUCGUUGGCACGCGUGCCGCCUCACUUAUCACUGUCCCUUAUUUCUGCUGAUGUUGACAUGUAUGACCAGUUUUUCGGGUAUUCAGACCGAUGUGGCGUUCAGGCCAGUUUUUCGGGUAUUCAAACCGAUGUGGCGUUCAGGCCAGUUUUUGGGGUAUUCAGACCGAUGUGGCGUUCAGGCCAGUUUUUUCGGUGUUCAGGCCGAGGUGGGUAUUCAGACCAGAUUUUCCGAUGUUCAGAUCGAAGCAGUUUUCCGAUAUUCAGACCGUUGUGGCACUCAGGCCAGUUUCCAAUUUUCAGAUCGAAGAGGUUUCCGACGUUCAGGUCGACACAUUUGUGGCACUCAGGCCAGUUUCCGAUUUUCAGAUCGAAGAGGUUUCCGACGUUCAGGUCGACGCACUUGUGGAACUCAGGUCAGUUUCUGAUUUUCAGAUCGAAGAAGUUUCUGACGAUCAGGUCAACGCACUUGAGGCACUCAGGCCAAUCUCCCGGUAUCCAGACCGAAGUGGUAUCCAGACCGAAGUGGUAUCCAGACUGAAGUGGCAUUCAGGCUAGUUUUUCGGGCAUUCAGGCCAAUCUCUCGGUGAUCAGACCGACAUUAAUACUCUCAUAUUCCGAUGCUCAGUAUUCAGACUGACGAGCGGCGUUCAGCCCAUGGUGGUUCCUGUGUUACCAUUUAUUUUGGUAUCCAGGUCAAUGUUCCUUUUCGGUAUUCAGGCCGACUUUCUCCGUACCAGACAGAUUCUUCUUUUGAGGUCGUGCUUUGCCGCUUCUGGCAGGCCUUGUUAAUUAUUUUCCCAACGGAGUGCAAAUUGUUCGUCUGAUCUUGGUAUUCAAUCACUCUUCACCCUGAUCAUCUGAAAGCCGAGGCUAUUCAUAUCGACAGGUUCACAAUGGAUUGAAUAGGGGCAGCUGUAACACCUCAAAAUUUACCCUCCUCUUCUUGGGACUAGCUUAGCAUAUUGCAUUUCAUUUUUAGGACAUUAGGUAUUUGCAUGUUGCAUAUCAUGUGAGAACAAGCAAGUCAUCCUCCUAAGUCUUUCUUAGAAGAUAGAGAGGUUAAGAGAUUCAUGCCUGAGGGUCUCAUGGAUUGAUCACUAGCCAUCUGAGGGUUUGUGCUUCAAUUAGAGUUUCUUGGUCCUUCAAGGAGUUUGAGCAUUAUCUUAUUGGAAAGGGUACAUCAUCAUCAUCAUGGUUAUGUCAUCCUCAAGGGGCUCAUUGUUCAUGCUCAGAUUCUUUGGGAUUAGGGUUUUGACCUCUGGUCAACCCUGUCAUCCUCAAGGGGCUCAUUGUUCAUGCUCAGAUUCUUUGGGAUUAGGGUUUUGACCUCUGGUCAACCCUAAUCAGUUGCAUUCUACCAGUCAGGGUUUCUCAAGGAGAUGGGGUUUAUUUCUUGGAUGGAGAUCAUAUGAUUAUUAUGUGGAGCUUAAAAGAGCUAGGGGUUCAUUUUGGAGGCAAUUCCUCAAGUGGUUGAGGCUCAGGCUGAUCAGGGCACUUCUAGGUCAUCUGUCAACCAGAAAGUCAACAGAAAGUCAACUGAGGGCUAGGAGGUGGAGAAAUGAGUUUCAACAUCUCAUUCAUGUUCGAAAGAGGCUUAUUAAUCAUGUCAAAUGUAUAUCUUGAAGAAUUUGAGGUUAGAUCAAAAGUUUCCAAAAAUGGAAAGUGACCUGUAAUUGGAAGUUUCCAAAAAUGGAAAGUUUUUGGUUCAAAUUCAACUUGAUCAUACAUCAUCAAAGAAGAUUCAAUUGAAUUUUUGUCCAACAUGAAAGUUGAAGAUCCCUCUCUCCCAUUUCCAAAAAGUCCAAGAUCAUGAAUUUAUGAUGAAUGAUUGAGGAGAUAUGAUCCAAUCAUUGCCAAGUGUGUUUGAAACUUCAAAAGGGCAUAACUUUUGACUCAUAACUCCAAAUUGAGUGGUUCUUUUUGCAAAAUUCUUCUCAUGACAUGAACUUUCCAAAUCAUUCAUCACAUUGCAUGAAAAUUCAUCACAUGAUCAUUUGCAUAUUCAUGCUUAUUUUGGAGGGAAAAUGCUAAAUUUGAAAUUGGUGCAUCAUGGGAACAAAUCACCAUUGCCAUUGUGUUCAUUGGAAGAUUUUAAGUGAGUUUGAUCAUUUCAUCAUGGGAACAAAUCACCAUUGCCAUUGUGUUCAUUGGAAGAUUUUAAGUGAGUUUGAUCAUUCAUUUGGUACUGUUCACGUCCAUUUACUCCAUGCACCAUGCAAUUUUCAUUUUUUGGCCAAAAACCUUAUUUUUACUAAUUCCAAAUUAACUUUGAUUAAUUUUAAUUAGUAUGUGAUUAGGACUUCAUAUAUAUUGAUAAUCAUAAUAGAAUUUCACUUCAGCUUCAUCAAUUGUAGAUCUAGAUCUCAAAAUUCUCUCUCCCUCCAAAAUUUUCUCCUAGUCACAAUUCAAAUUUCUUGAACAUGGCACCUUGUUUUUAAUGAAGAUUCAUGAUCAGUGAGUUGGAUAGAGUGUAAAUCCAGUGUUUGUUUGAAGAUUUGGAGCCAUAGUCAAGCAGUUGAAGCUCAAGAACAUUGCCAUGGAAGUUGAUUGUUGAGCUAGAUCUACACGGUUUCAAGCUUCAAUUCCUUCACCAAACUUCAUUACAAGUAUUCUGGAGCAGAUCUGCAGCUUGCCAAGCCUUGGAUCAUGCGCUUUCAAGAACUGCUCUUCAAGAGGUUCAGUUUUCGAAUCUCUUAAUUCCUCAAUUCAUUAACAUGUUCAUGUAGAUCUUUCCAUGCUGAGUUUGUUGAUGCUUGUAGAAUUGAAAAUGAUGAACUAUUGAGAGAGAUAUGCUUGAUUGAAGUUUUGAAUGCUAAACUUUUUUUGCUUCGAUUUGUAUGAUUUGUGAUGAAUUAACAUGAAUUAAUGCUUGAUCUAUAACCUACAUGUCAUGAGGAUUCGAAUAGUGUAUUAAUUUUGAAAUUCUGCAAACAUUUUCUGGACAUGCACUGUUCCUCCAUCGUCUUCAUGAAAAAGACGGUGGUUUCCGCCCAUAGCGUCCACAUAGCGUCCACCUAGCAUCCGAGCGCACCACCGUCUGGUUUUGCUUACGUGCCUAGGGCUUUUGUCCCAUUCACAUGCCACGCGAGCGCUUCGCUGGCCUUUCCGUUGGCCAGCGUCCUUUUGACUUGCACGCGUGUCGCAUUACGCGAAAAACCGGCGGGAAAACAAGAAACAACAGAGCCGCCACCGUGCGUUAUUUAUCCCAAAAGAGGGAAAGGAAACGCUCAGAGUAAACCUGGAAAAAGCAUGGUCUCGCGCGCAAAGAGAAUGGGAUCGGGAGUCGGUUAUCGAAGGAAGGUAUUGCACCCUACGCAUCCGUCGUACUCGACGGGAUCCACGCACAAUAGGAGGGAAAUGGUUGCUAAAAUACUGCUCAAAUACACACACACUGGCUGAAGGAGACACAAGAAAACAGACUAAAACUGACUCGGCAGGAUAUCGUAUCCUGGGCCUACUUAGUCUAUCAAGCAUAGACAUCAGAGUCUAAGUAGUUCGGACGAGGGAAAACAUGCUCGCUAGGAUGUCGCAUCCUAUGCAUACGUAUCUCCUUUGGACGGAGGAGAAUCAGAGCAUUCGUAGCUCGGCUAAACACGCACAAAAACACAGGCAAGGCAACACGUGGAGCCUGAAUGCCAUCACUGGGCUUACAUCAGCAUCCGAACCAAACACACACAAAGGGCAAACAUGGAGCCCGACAACCAAUUGAGGAUUAUGUCGGCAUCCGAACCCAAAACACACAACAGCAUGUAACAAGACACAGGAAGGAGAAGGGUUCAAUUGCAACUAGGGCAGAGAAGGGAAGGUCUCAAUCGCAACGAGGGCGAGAGAAAGAAUUAGUGUUAGUAGUUAGUCAAACUCGGCAAGACAUCGCGUCUCGUGCCUACGUAUCUCAUCUGAACAUGAGAAUCAGGUUGCCGUAGUUCGGCCAAACUAUUCCUGUUGGUUUGUGUUUUUUAAGUGGAUAACGUCACUACGCAAUCUACCUGAUGCUCGACCUUUGGAGACUUACUCACCUGUAGUAGAAGGAGUUGACGUAUCCUUAAGAGGGAUAUGUUUGUUUGUGUUUUAGGAAAGCUCAAGCAAGAAAGGAAUCCUAUACGAAGGAACCGUGCUACCUUAAUUGACAUGCAAACGAGACUACGCGGAGUCUAGCAAACCUAGGGGAUACAAUCACACCACACAAAUAUACACGGCAUGAAAUAAACACACCAACAAGGGGCCUCAAAAUCAGGGCUAGGCUUUAGUCGAGGGUCAUAUCACCUCAACAACAAGCCUCUGUAUCGGGGUCAGGUUAGCUCUAACCUUGCCAUUGAGGGGCUAAGGUGAAGCUAGAUGAAAGUGAUGAGGGGUGUGCCUCAUUGCUUCUAUCUCAAGUCAGAGAGAGCAUCAGACAAGGGAGCGUGGUCCAGAAUGGGGGGACCUUCUACGCUCAGGAACAUAGACUCGACUGUACAAUGUACAGAUCUUGGGCUUGGAUCUCAAUGCUACAACCAUGUAAUGGGAGCAAGGAGAAGACUCACAGAAUAGUGGGGGAUAGAUUGCUUAUCCCUACCUUCCACCAAUUGCCUCAAAUGAGGACUUUCCCUGCUUAGGACAAAUAAACAUACACAAGCAUUGCCUCUAAGGAGGACUUCAGACAAGUGUCCCGGCCCGAUAACAGCCGGGUCUCCAGACUACAUGAAGUCAGAAGAUUAUACCUCAGUGGUAAAGCAACCACAAGCUAGCAAAGCAAAGUUCAAAAUGAACUCAAAGCCACUAGGUACCUGUGAAAAAAUCUAAAACAUCAGUUAAACUGUAUUACUGUAUAGACAAACAACCAACAGUCAACAUUAAACAGACAGACAAAGCAUCAUCAGACAAUGAGCAGGCACAAGCCAAGUGAAUUUGUUCUCAAAGCCUACAAAACAACACAAUGUUAGCCGACAUCAACCAAUAAUCAGGCUUAAAUGAAUGAGGCACUCAAUCAUGGCAAUGUGCCUUUGAACCUGAAAUCCAUACAUCCAAACAGUGAGUCCAAACCACAGGUCAAAGCCUAGGGUCAAAAGAGGGAAAAAUCCAGAACAGAAGCUGAUACUCCACAUAAAAUCAUUUACUCAAGUGACAACAUGUCCUAAAAUUAAGGAGCAUCAAGAUUGAAUUAUUUCUAAGCCUAGGGUAGAAUAGUCAUUUCACAAUUAGGGAUUAAUCGAAUGAAACUCCUAACUAAAAUCAAUUAAAAUCUACACUAGAUUUAACAUUCUAAAAAUUCCAAGAAUAUCUAAUUCUAAUCCUAAAAUAAUGUUUCAAAUGACUUCUAUCAACCACUAAAUUCUAAGUAGCUAAAUCUAUUUAAACUAAUCCUAGAAUUAAUUCUAAUCAACAGUAUUUCUAAUGGUCCACAAUUAAUCCUAAAAUUAAUCUUUAAUACUCCUUCAAAUGUUUUUCUUAUGGAAAAUCUAAGUUUGAUAAUUCCAAAACUCUGUUUAGUUCUAGUGACUAAUUAGCUCUAAGACAAAUUUUAUACCUAAUUAAAGUCCUAAGAACUAAUUAACUAGCCUAUUAAUCUGAGAUCUAUGCUUCUACAUAAUCCUAAUUUUCUAAUCAGCAUCUAACCAUCUGGAACAUAGAAAUACACAUGUGAGGAACGUAUAGGUGAAGUCCAAGAAGAAUUCACCAAACGCGCUUUUCGCAAAAGCUACACAGGCAAAUGAAGCGCUUGCGUUGACAAAGUGCUUAAAGAAAACUCCGUGCGAACAUCAACAUUCGUCAUCACCCUGACCUUCACCAGCAAAUCGUUGUUCGCGGACACUUCACCAUCUCGGAUCGUUCAACAGCUAUACGCGAUUCGCGUCCAUCCACCAUCAACAAUCAACUACUCAAACUUACGAAAUCAACAACAUCAGCUAUCCUUAACUACGGAGCCGAAUCGCAACGGCAUCAACAAAUUACUCGAGCACGACGAAAAAGAAGAACAAUAACUCACCGGCAAUGACGACGGGAGGACGGAUCGGCGUCGGCUACGAAUGGAUCGGUUUUGAUGUGUCGGGCCGCGUUCUUCUUCCUCUGUUUCAGUGCUUGCAAUCUUCUUGAAUUCGCGUUAGAAUUUCUCCUUGCCGCGAGCUUCGCCUCCACUUGUAUUCAAUGCUCUUCUUCUUCUACUUUCUUG
rnacentral:lncRNA from 1 species